UCCCUUAAGUUGAUCUUGAGAGAAAACCUAAUUACAGUAGGAAGAUGCGUGUGGCCGUGUUGUUAAUAGUGGUGAUGGCUGGCACAGCAGCAGCUUACCCAGAUGGAGGACGAGGCCACAGAGCUCAUCAACAACAAGCUGGUGAGAGACUAAUUGCCUCUGCACUGGCAGGAGCAGCACAAGGAGUCCUCAGUGAAGUUCUCAAUUCCAAUGAUCCUUAUCAUGGACAUUAUGACCACCACUAUCACCAACACCAAGACCCCUACCAUCACGGAUCUAACAUUUACGCCCAUGGUUUUGGCUAUAACCAACCUGGAUUUGGUCUUGGUGGUUAUAAUGGGUAUUAUCACCCUGGCUUGGGCUACAAUAAUUACUAUGGGUAGAUUCAACAUUCCCACAGCUUGUGUAUACAGUAGUUGUACAGUACAUACUUCUUUGUUUGUCUUCACCUGUAAAUGUUCCCUGCCUGUCUACACUUCAUAAAUUCCCCACCUGUUUACACUUGCAUAUAUUCCCACUGCCUGUCUACAAUUGUUUACAUGGUAUUCUAAUAACAAAAUAUUUAUUGUAUUGUACAAUACAGUACUGUGCGGUAUUGUAUUUUUUUUUAAGUUUAACACAAUCAAUCUACAGCUAUUCAUUUAUAUUUAUCAUGAUGCAAUAAUUUAAAAAGUUUGAGGCAUUCAUAUUUAUAUUAAGUACAUCAUAAAUUAAUAUUAAUUCCUUUUUAUGAUCUUAAGAGUCCCCUAAAUAAUACUUACUCAAACCUUCACUUGAUGUUUUCCUCAUUGUCCUUUAAAUGUUGUACUGUACAGUACAUCACUUUAUUGUACCAAGUGACUUUUAUGAUGUUGUACAGCAUCUUAUUGUACCAUGUUGCAUACUUAAUGUUAUACAGCACAUUAUUGUACCAAAUGCCCAACAUCACUACUCCAUGCCACCAGGUAAUACAAGCAGUACCCAGAAGUUAGCACCUCAAGGCUGGGUUUCCCUUGAUUAUUAAGAUCGAAGACAAACUUGUGGAAGAAAUGGGUUCAAUUACACUCAGGAAAAAUCAAGGUGGAAGGGAAGAAAAAUAAUAACUUCUGUAAUAUAUUAAUUUUUAACAUUUCAUUUCAAUAAGGAAACAAAAUUUUAUGAGUAUCUUUACAGACUCAAGACAAGAAAGAUUGGAGGAUAAAAUAAAUGGUUCUGAUUACAUCUAAAUAUCUUAUGUCUGUGAUUGUAAUAGUACUGAAUUUGCAGGAGUUUCAAAGUGACAAAUUUCAAAUAUAUUCAGUUUUGUUUUUAUAUUUUUGAUCACUGUAGCCAAGUCAUAGGGUCACACUAAUCUAAAUAUCAUUGUAUCUGUAUUAACUGGACUAUUGAUGUAGGAGUGUAAGUUAUGUAUGUCUGCAGGAUAGGAAAAAGAUCCUAUACAUCUGCUUACAGUAUAUACCAUGACAACCACUAAAGCUUUAAUAUUUUGGAGGUUAGAACAUCUUGUAUGUGAGGAAAAGUAGAUAUUAUCCUUGCAGUCCCUAACUACAGCUACUGUACUAAAUGUUGUCGAACAGAAUUUAAUGAUUAUAAUGUGUCUCAGCAUCAAUUCCAGACAUUUCCAGAAAAGACAGGUGGUCAUUUAGUCAACCUACCUAGUCAGUGUACUGUAUACUGCUGAUAUUAUUUCAACACUGUCAAUCUUCUACGGAAAAGUACUGAAUCUAUGAAAGCAGAAUGGAAUAAAUGAGAGGAAAAAACACACAUACAUGAACAAGUAAACAUCAGCACAACUCAAGUCCCACAGCAAAAACAACAAUCAUAUCUCAGGUUGAAUAAAAAUCUCCCUGCAUGUCAUCAUUUAUGUAUUAUAUAGAUAGCUUACAAUACUGAGAACAUUGUAAGGUUUAGAACAUUCAGAGGAUCAAAACAAAUAAAAACAUGUCAAGUUAAACUCUUCAGCAAAUUA